rnacentral:rRNA from 1 species
GGAGUACGGUGGCAAGACUGAAACUGAAAGGAAUGGACGGGGGCCCGCACAAGCGGUCGAGCAUGUGGUUUAAUUCGAAGCAACGAGAAGAACCUUACCAGGUCUUGACAUCCUCUGACAACUGUAGAGAUAGAGCGUUCCCCUUCGGGGGACAGAGUGACAGGUGGUGCAUGGUUGUCGUCAGCUCGUGUCGUGAGAUGUUGGGUUAAGUCCCGCAACGAGCGCAACCCUUGAUCUUAGUUGCCAGCAUUUAGUUGGGCACUCUAAGGUGACUGCCGGUGACAAACCGGAGGAAGGUGGGGAUGACGUCAAAUCAUCAUGCCCCUUAUGACCUGGGCUACACACGUGCUACAAUGGAUGGUACAAAGGGCUGCAAGACCGCGAGGUCAAGCCAAUCCCAUAAAACCAUUCUCAGUUCGGAUUGUAGGCUGCAACUCGCCUACAUGAAGCUGGAAUCGCUAGUAAUCGCGGAUCAGCAUGCCGCGGUGAA